rfam:Ictidomys tridecemlineatus contig008836, whole genome shotgun sequence.
GGGGAUGUAGCUCAGCUGGUAGAGUGCUUGCCUUGCAUGCACAAGGCCUGGGUUCAUUCCCCAGCACUGCCA